UACGAAGGGUGCAAACGUUGCUCGGAAUUAUUGGGCGUAAAGCGCACGUAGGCGGCUUUGCAAGUCGGAUGUGAAAUCCCUCGGCUUAACCAAGGAAGUGCAUCCGAAACUGCAGAGCUUGAGUACUUAAGAGGAUCGCGGAAUUCCCGGUGUAGAGGUGAAAUGCGCAGAGAUCGGGAGGAACACCCGUAGCGAAGGCGGCGCUCUGGGCCGGUACUGACGCUGAGACGCGAAAGCGUGGGGAGCAAACAGG
rnacentral:rRNA from 1 species